GAAUUACAAGUACUAACUUUCGACCGGACCGGUUGUUAAGGGGAAAGCCUGUUAAUCAUAUUAGACAACCCAGAAAGGGACUUCUUGAUUGACAACAUAAAUCGUCCAUCUCAUAUUCUCCUCGAUAUGAUGAACAGCCUUCCCUUUCUCGGUCUUAGAUUGUUUAAUAUUUCUCUUAUUCUCCACUUUUCUUCAUCAAAAGCAGAAUUACUUUCCACCUCAACAUUCAUCGGCAGCAAUUUCGUUCCCUUUCUCAGUUUUAGAUUGCGUAUUAUAUGUCUUGUAUUUUACUUGUUAUUUAUCAGCAACAGAAUCGUUUUCCUCCUUAAUAUCA
rnacentral:lncRNA from 1 species